UACGUAGGGAGCAAGCGUUGUCCGGAAUCAUUGGGCGUAAAGCGCGCGUAGGUGGCUUCGUAAGUCCGCUGUGAAAGUCAAAGGCUCAACCUUUGAAAGCCGGUGGAUACUGUGAAGCUAGAGUACGGAAGAGGCGAGUAGAAUUCCUGGUGUAGCGGUGGAAUGCGCAGAUAUCAGGAGGAACACCAAUAGCGAAGGCAGCUCGCUGGGACGUUACUGACGCUGAGACGCGAAAGCGUGGGGAGCGAACAGG
rnacentral:rRNA from 1 species